AAAAAACAUGGACAACGCUAUGGAGCGGUUAGUUGAUGAUGAUGAGUCGAGGGGUAUGAAGGAUUGACAUGGGACAUGGUUAUAGAUGCUUCAGGGACAUCAGCUGCCUUCCUAGGGCCACUAGAUCUUCUGCACAGAGAAUGAGGGUGGAGGAAGAAAAGGCAGAUUCAGAAGAGACAGAUGAGGACGACCAAUAUGUCGACGAGGAUGAC
rnacentral:lncRNA from 1 species